rnacentral:pre_miRNA from 1 species
UAACCUCUGCAGGCUGCCGGCCCCCAGGCUGGGCUGGGCGAGUAUCUUGACAAAAGGCUCACCCUCGAGCAUGACUAGGAGC